AAUCACGUGACUUUUACGGUUACGCGUACAGACAAUAUGGCGGCCUAAAAACCUCGCUUCACAUGUGUUUUUCAGGUAAUUCUUUAUUAUAUCCCUUUUACUUACAUACGAGACCUGUUGCAGCCUACGCGGAAUAAAGAAUUGUUGCCGCCUAUACCUUAUUUUCCACCCCUGUGCUCAUAGCUUUUACAAACACUCAGAAAUUCAACAGGAAUUUUCAAUGUUGACAAUUAUUUUUCGGGUAACAUUCACGCAAUCUUUGUAUUUGUUAUGAAUUUGAUUAAACUACGUAGAGUUAGCAAAGAGAAAAUGUUCAUAGAAGUUCUUUAUUUGAAAAUGUAAAUAUUAGGCAUGUUAAAUGUUGACUGGUCAUUUUCUAUUCCAACACACAAGAGAAAAAUGAUUUGGGUAACGGCCACGCAAACUUUUAUUGUUGAUAACUCCCACGCAAUAUUUUAUGUGCAAGCAAUAUCUAUGCAGGCUAUAGCCUCGAUAUUGAUUUAACAAAAUCAUGAUCGAUGUAUUUAGCCUUAAACGUUCAUAGAAUUUUAAAUAAUAGCAGAACACAUGCUCACGUAAAUAUAUUAAAUGAAGUUUCGAUAUAGAGAUAUAGAUGAAUUAAUCGCAGAAAUUAAAAUAAAAGUCUCAAAUAUAAGAAGGAGGUCGAUUUCAGUUUAAGCACAAUUACAGUUGUCAUUUUUCAUAGUUUGCAGAUAUGGACGGUUGCAGCUCGGAUAUUGUUUGUGGAUAAUGUUGGAAAACAUUUCGUUCACGGACAGGUCUUAAUGACCACUUAAACUGGCUACUCGGCACAGGACCUUGUAAACAUUGUGGCAAAUCGAACUGUCACAGAUCCUGGUCCUGGUUGAAAUUGAGAGUAUUGCAGCUGUAGCUUGUAUACCAUACAUUUAACAUGAAAAGGACUGUCAGGAUGCUGCAUACAAUGGUUUUAGCUAGAGCCUAGAAUGAAUAUUUCUUAGGAAUAUGCUGCAAGUAACUGAUGGGGAGCAGUUUUUCUUACCAAUCAUAGAAGCAGUAAGAGACAGCCAACGAAGUAUUCAAACACCAUCAUGAAACACUUAAGACAUACCAGGAGAGAUCUAGAAGAAGUACUAGUAGUAGAGUGGAACAGAUUGUAGCUUAAUUGUAGCUUAAAGGACUUCUUAAAUCGUUAAAAUUAAAGCUGCACUUGAACUGUCUUUUUUGUUAAACAGUUAAACUCUGUAACUUUGCUUUAUAUUAAAAUUGAAGUAUGUUGAAAUUACAUUGAAACUUAAACGUUGUGCCAACGUUGAAUUUCAACGUUGUUUAAACUUUCAAAUCCGAACAUAAAUCCAACGUUAUUUCAACGUUAAAAUCUGACCAUAAUUCAACGUUGUUCAACGUUUAUGUGCCUGCUGGGUUAAUUCUAUCCGGGACCUAUUGGCGGUAUUUUAAAUAUUAUUCAAAAUUAUUUGAAAGCCUGAGGCUAAAUGCAUCAAUCAUGAUUUGUUAAAUCAAUAUCUAGGCUUUAACCUGCAUAGAUAUUGCUUGCACAUAAAAUAUUGCGUGGGAGUUAUCAACAAUAAAAGUUUGCGUGGCCGUUACCCAAAUCAUUUUUCUCUUGUGUGUUGGAAUAGAAAAUGACCAGUCAACAUUUAACAUGCCUAAU